GACGAACCGAGCGAACGUUGUUCGGAAUCACUGGGCUUAAAGGGCGCGUAGGCGGGCUGUCAAGUCUGGGGUGAAAUCCCGCGGCUCAACCGUGGAACUGCCUCAGAUACUGACGGUCUCGAGGGAGGUAGGGGCGAGCGGAACUGAUGGUGGAGCGGUGAAAUGCGUUGAUAUCAUCAGGAACUCCGGUGGCGAAGGCGGCUCGCUGGACCUUUUCUGACGCUGAGGCGCGAAAGCGUGGGGAGCAAACGGG
rnacentral:rRNA from 1 species